rnacentral:rRNA from 1 species
GAUGAACGCUGGCGGUCUGCUUAACACAUGCAAGUCGAGCGGGGACUUUCGGGUCCUAGCGGCGGACGGGUGAGUAACGCGUGAGAAUCUGCCUUCAGGACGGGGACAACAGCUGGAAACGGCUGCUAAUACCCGAUGUGCCUAUGGGUGAAACAUUUAUGGCCUGGAGAUGAGCUCGCGUCAGAUUAGCUAGUUGGAGUGGUAACGGCACACCAAGGCAAUGAUCUGUAGCUGGUCUGAGAGGAUGACCAGUCACACUGGGACUGAGACACGGCCCAGACUCCUACGGGAGGCAGCAGUGGGGAAUCUUGGACAAUGGGGGCAACCCUGAUCCAGCCAUGCCGCGUGGGUGAUGAA